rnacentral:tRNA from 2 species
GGCGCGUUCGUCUAGAGGCCUAGGACACCGGGUUUUCAUCCCGGUAAUCGCGGGUUCGAAUCCCGCACGCGCUA